GAAGUUCCCGAAUGCCAAGAUGAUCUACGCGGAGACACAGAAGUGAACCCUCAAGUAACAGCCAGUAGAAUCGUGCGCAUCAUGGAGCAAACAAAUACUUCAUCGUUUCCUGAACACGAGGAUUGUUAACCGACGUUAUACAGACAUGAAAUAAACACGUAACAUCUAACAGAGUGACAGUCGCAUGAAGAGAAGAUGAAGAGAAGUAAACACAAUUGAACAAUAAAGUCUUCUGUUCUCACUUCGAGGAUUUUCUUCAGCUUGCCGGAGGAUUUGAUGGACAUGGAGGCGGCGAUGAUGGCGUUUAGUUGCUGCCAGAAAGAGACAAAUUCAUUGAUUAUUACUGGUGAUUAAAUGUAAAUAAAACACCACUUUAACUUGC